rnacentral:rRNA from 1 species
AUUGAACGCUGGCCGCAUGCCUUACACAUGCAAGUCGAACGGUAACAGGUCUUCGGAUGCUGACGAGUGGCGAACGGGUGAGUAAUACAUCGGAACGUGCCUAGUAGUGGGGGAUAACUACUCGAAAGAGUGGCUAAUACCGCAUGAGAUCUACGGAUGAAAGCAGGGGAUCGCAAGACCUUGUGCUACUAGAGCGGCCGAUGGCAGAUUAGGUAGUUGGUGGGAUAAAAGCUUACCAAGCCGACGAUCUGUAGCUGGUCUGAGAGGACAAUCGACCACACUGGGACUGAGACACGGCCCAGACUCCUACGGGAGGCAGCAGUGGGGAACUUUGGACAAUGGGCGAAAGCCUGAUCCAGCAAUGCCGCGUGCAGGAUGAAGGCCUUCGGGUUGUAAACUGCUUUUGUACGGAACGAAAAGCCCCGGGUUAAUACCCUGGGGUCAUGACGGUACCGUAAGAAUAAGCACCGGCUAACUACGUGCCAGCAGCCGCCGUAA